UACGGAGGGUGCGAGCGUUGUCCGGAAUCACUGGGCGUAAAGGGCGCGUAGGCGGCCUGGUAAGUAGGGGGUGAAAUCCUGCGGCUUAACCGCAGGGCUGCCUUCUAAACUGUCAGGCUUGAGCACAGUAGAGGCAGGUGGAAUUCCCGGUGUAGCGGUGGAAUGCGUAGAGAUCGGGAAGAACAUCAGUGGCGAAGGCGGCCUGCUGGGCUGUUGCUGACGCUGAGGCGCGAAAGCGUGGGUAGCAAACAGG
rnacentral:rRNA from 1 species